rnacentral:rRNA from 1 species
GAUGAACGCUGGCGGCGUGCUUAACACAUGCAAGUCGAACGGGGAUAUUGAAGAGCUUGCUCUUCGAUAUUCUAGUGGCGGACGGGUGAGUAACGCGUGAGGAACCUGCCUUUCAGUGGGGAAUAACACUGGGAAACCAGUGCUAAUACCGCAUAACGUGCUUGAGUGGCAUCACUUGAGUACCAAAGGAGCAAUUCGCUGAAAGAUGGCCUCGCGUCCGAUUAGCUAGUUGGUAGGGUAACGGCCUACCAAGGCGACGAUCGGUAGCCGGACUGAGAGGUUGACCGGCCACAUUGGGACUGAGACACGGCCCAGACUCCUACGGGAGGCAGCAGUGGGGAAUAUUAGGCAAUGGGGGAAACCCUGACCUAGCAACGCCGCGUGAAGGAUGAAGGCUUUCGGGUUGUAAACUUCUUUGACGCAGGAAGAAAAAAAUGACGGUACUGCGAAAACAAGCUCCGGCUAACUACGUGCCAGCAGCCGCAGUAAGAC